UGCAUAAAUGACCUCUUUUCAUAACUAAAAUAUGAACAAAACCAGUUCCAUUUAAAACAAAUAAUCACCACCACCGUCGUCAAAACAAUAUUUGAAAUACAUAAUAUGGUUGAUACAUUGAUCUAAUUUCAAAGAAAAUAUUAAUAUAAAAUAGUAGGAUAUAAUACAAUAUUUGUAAACCAAUAGUAGUGAUUAGCUUUCAAUUUUAUUAGUUCUCUUCUAAAGCUUUCAAUUUAUAUCAACAAG
rnacentral:lncRNA from 1 species